GAGCGGCGAACGGGUGAGUAACACGUGAGUAACCUGCCCCUGACUCUGGGAUAAGCCUGGGAAACCGGGUCUAAUACCGGAUGUGACCUCCUCCGGCAUCGGAUGGUGGUGGAAAGUUUUUUCGGUUGGGGAUGGGCUCGCGGCCUAUCAGCUUGUUGGUGGGGUAGUGGCCUACCAAGGCGACGACGGGUAGCCGGCCUGAGAGGGCGACCGGCCACACUGGGACUGAGACACGGCCCAGACUCCUACGGGAGGCAGCAGUGGGGAAUAUUGCGCAAUGGGCGGAAGCCUGACGCAGCGACGCCGCGUGGGGGAUGACGGCCUUCGGGUUGUAAACCUCUUUCAGCAGGGACGAAGUUGACGUGUACCUGCAGAAGAAGCGCCGGCUAACUACGUGCCAGCAGCCGCGGUAAUACGUAGGGCGCAAGCGUUGUCCGGAAUUAUUGGGCGUAAAGAGCUCGUAGGUGGCUGGUCGCGUCUGCCGUGAAAGCCCGCAGCUUAACUGCGGGUCUGCGGUGGAUACGGNCCGGCUAGAGGUAGGUAGGGGCAAGUGGAAUUCCU
rnacentral:rRNA from 1 species